GUCUACAGCCAUGCUUACCUGCACAAGCCUGAUCCCGUCUGAUCUCGGAAGCUAAGCAGAGUCAGGCCUGGUUAGUACUUGGAUAGGAGACCACCUAGGAAAACCAGGUGCUGUAGGCC
rnacentral:rRNA from 1 species